AAGUCGUAACAAGGUAUCCGUAGGUGAACCUGCGGAUGGAUCAUUAACAAGUAUUUAUACUUAAUUAACACCUGUGAACUGUAAGGGACUUACCCUCCCGCUUUUAUUAUAUUUUAUACUGAAUACAUGAUAUAUAACAAUCAUAAAACUUUUAGCAACGGAUCUCUGGGCUCUC
rnacentral:misc_RNA from 1 species